rnacentral:rRNA from 1 species
UACGGAGGGGACUAGCGUUGUUCGGAAUUACUGGGCGUAAAGCGCACGUAGGCGGAUUUGUAAGUCAGGGGUGAAAUCCCGGGGCUCAACCUCGGAACUGCCUUUGAUACUGCAAUCUCGAGUCCGGAAGAGGUGAGUGGAAUUCCUAGUGUAGAGGUGAAAUUCGUAGAUAUUAGGAAGAACACCAGUGGCGAAGGCGGACUCACUGGUCCGGUACUGACGCUGAGGUGCGAAAGCGUGGGGAGCAAACAGG